GUUUGAUCCUGGCUCAGAUUAAACGCUGGCGGCAUGCCUUACACAUGCAAGUCGAACGGCAGCACGGGGUGGUAACACUCUGGUGGCGAGUGGCGGACGGGUGAGUAAAGCAUCGGAACGUGCCCUGGAAUGGGGGAUAACGUAGCGAAAGUUACGCUAAUACCGCAUAUUCUGUGAGCAGGAAAGCAGGGGAUCGCAAGACCUUGCGUUCGAGGAGCGGCCGAUGUCGGAUUAGCUAGUUGGUGGGGUAAAGGCCUACCAAGGCGACGAUCCGUAGCGGGUCUGAGAGGAUGAUCCGCCACACUGGGACUGAGACACGGCCCAGACUCCUACGGGAGGCAGCAGUGGGGAAUUUUGGACAAUGGGCGCAAGCCUGAUCCAGCCAUGCCGCGUGAGUGAAGAAGGCCUCGGUGUAAG
rnacentral:rRNA from 1 species